AUCUACAGCCAUGCCACCCUGAACUUGCCCGAUCUUGUCUGAUGUCAGAAGCUAAGCAGGGUCGGGCCUGGUUAGUACUACUAAGAUGGGAGACCACCUAGGAAUACCAAGUGCUAUAGGCA
ensembl:rRNA 5S_rRNA 5S ribosomal RNA